GACGAACCGUGCGAACGUUAUUCGGAAUCACUGGGCUUAAAGCGUGUGUAGGUGGAUGCCUAAGUACCUUGUGAAAUCCCACGGCUUAACCGUGGAACUGCUUGGUAUACUGGGUGUCUUGAGCCAGCUAGGGGCUACCGGAACAAAUGGUGGAGCGGUGAAAUGCGUAGAUAUCAUUUGGAACGCCAAUGGUGAAAACAGGUAGCUGGGGCUGUGCUGACACUGAGACACGAAAGCCAGGGGAGCGAACGGG
rnacentral:rRNA from 1 species